rnacentral:rRNA from 1 species
GACGAACGCUGGCNGGCGUGCUUAACACAUGCAAGUCGAACGAGAAUUGAUCUUUAGUUUACUAGAGAUUAAGGAAAGUGGCGAACGGGUGAGUAACGCGUAGGUAACCAACCUUACACAGGGGGAUAGCCCCGGGGAACUGGGAGUAAUACCGCAUAAGACCACAGCAUCGCAUGGUGCAGUGGUAAAAACCACGGUGGUGUAAGACGGACCUGCGUCCCAUUAGUUAGUUGGUGAGGUAACGGCUCACCAAGACCGCGAUGGGUAGCCGACCUGAGAGGGUGAUCGGCCACAUUGGGACUGAGACACGGCCCAGACUCCUACGGGAGGCAGCAGUGGGGAAUAUUGCGCAAUGGAGGAAACUCUGACGCAGCAACGCCGCGUGAGUGAAGAA